AUUGAACGCUGGCGGCAGGCCUAACACAUGCAAGUCGAGCGAGCGGCGGACGGGUGAGUAAUGCCUGGGAAUUUCCCAGUCGAGGGGGAUAACAGUUGGACACGACUGCUAAUCCCGCAUACGAUUGGAUUGCCCAUGUGGUAUUAGCUAUUUGGUGAGUUAAUGGCUCACCAAGGCGACGAUCCCGCGCUGGUCUGAGAGGAUGAUAAGCCACACGGGAACUGAGACACGGUCCAGACUCCGACGGGAGGCAGCAGUGGGGAAUAUUGCACAAUGGGGGAAACCCGGAUGCAGCCAUGCCGCGGGUGUGAAGAAGGCCUUCGGGUUGUAAAGUACUUUCAGCGAGGAGGCGUUACUCGCAGAAGAAGCACCGGCUAACUCCGUGCCAGCAGCCGCGGUAAUUC
rnacentral:rRNA from 1 species